rnacentral:sRNA from 1 species
ACCUAAACCCGACCGAAGUGGAAAGCCCGCAAACCGAGGUACGAGGUGCGGACUUGUAACGGGGGCGGGACCAGCC